GGAAAAUACCCGCCAACGACCCAAAAAAGGCCGGCGGCGGGUGGACGCGGCGCGCGAGGACCCGAGCCAGGCGGGGACAGGACGGCGGGGCGAGCCAGACAAAAAGUAACCUUCCUGAAGAGGACAUGUGAUUGGAAGUUGUCAAUUGUUGAAGCAUUGGUAACUCCAGUCUCUAACGUUUUAGAAAAUCAUAACAAGCGGUUCUCUACCCUGUAAAGAACAGAAACCUGGAAAUCUAAGGCUCAAAGACAUCCAAGUAAUUGGUAUCUGGGAGAUUUGGGAUUCAAACCCAGCUCUGCUUGACUUGGUGAGUUUCCUAUUAGGUUACCUUGUAAGAUACCAUACUACUGGUCACUUUAAAGCCCAAUGUGCAUUUAUAACAAAAAUGAAUAAUGGAUAUGAAGCUUGGGGUAGAAUAGGCAUUGGACUUGGAGCUAGGAGAUCUAGAUUCUAGAUCGUGCAAAUCAGUCUACCUCUCUGGGUUCUGUUUUACCCUUUAGAAAACUGAACCCAGAGAGUGGAAGGUCUGAACAUUUAUUUUCAGAUCAAGAAAGCAGAUAAUUGUCUUAAAGAUACAAUCUGAAAAGUGCAA
rnacentral:lncRNA from 1 species